GUCACAAACUGCAAAGGGUCCAGGCCGGUUUCCAUGCUCACUGGAAGCAGAGAGCGCAUAGGCCCAGCCACAGGAAAUCUCUACAACCGAGCUGGCUUAGCCGGCUGGGGUUUGGCCCACGGGGUCAGGCCUCUGGCACUAUUAUGGGAUGGCGAGGCUUUAUGCGACGGGGUAGGCGGGGGGGGGAGAGGAAGCCAAGGAAAUAUUAUGGGCUGGAACGGCAGCAAGGGCUUAUGUGACCAGAGAUGGUGCGGCGGUGCGGUAUCCGUGAGGGUGGGGUGGGGGGUGUUGUUGAGGAGGCGAAAUGAUGGGUGGUGGAGAGAGAGAGAGAGAGAGCGCGCUGUGGGAUGUGUGGCGACUGCUGCUGCAGCUGGCGAGAGUAUUAUGGGAUGGUGCCCCACGAGAGGCCAGGACUAUUAUGGGAUGGGGAGAGGAUGGCAAGGCGAGUGGAGGGGGGGUGGGGUGCUGCAAAUCUGAGAGUGUGCUCAGGGGUGGGGAGUAUUAUGGGAUGCCUCGGCAUUUCAGCCAGCCAGCCAGCACGCCACACACGUGACUGGGGUGGGUGGGUGGUGGGGAGAACAUUAUGGGAUGCGGGUCGGCCCCUCUCUCUCUCUCAGUUACUACGGGGUGUUGUGGACAAGAGGGAGGAGAGCGGGUUAUUAUGGGAUGUCAGCGCAGACGGUGUGUCUGGCUGGGUCUGUUGGGACCGUGUCCAAGUGGCUGCCCUGCCUUCUUCCUCUCUCUCUCUCUCUCUCUCUCUCUCUCUCUCUCUCUUUCUCUCUAAUAUGCUCCCCUUUUCCUUCCUCACCUCCUUUUUUUGCCACCACCAGCCCAGCCUCCCCCCCACCGCUCUGUAAUCUCCUCUGUUUCAACUGUCAGAACCUGUAAAGCAGGCAUGCUAUUAUGGGAUGGCUACUCCGUAGGUGGGGGUGGGGAUGGUUGCUAGGGAAUGUCUCCUGUCGGAGAUAUUAUGGGAUGUGACCAGUUUUGCAGGGUGGGGCUGCCCAGGAGGUUUAUUCAGGGGCCUUCACAGCCGUGUGAAGAAAGAAGGCAGAUUGCAUGGAAACCCUGUGAAUUAAUGAUAUAUGUGCACACACACACAUCUAUCUAUCUAUCACACAGAGUCAGGCGGCAAGAGGUGCUGGCAAUGCCACCCUUUCCUCCCCCAGCCCUGCUCUCAGCUUUUAUGUACAAAAGAAACAAAUAAGCAUGGGGCGGGGGGACUUCUUGCAAUUAGAGGCACUUAUUUAAAGGCACGGGAACAGGGGUGGUAAAAUUAUUGAAUUAUUCCUUCCCGCAGUUCAGAAUCGUGCCAUUUCCAGUGUGGUUUGGUGGUUAUGGCGUCAAGUGACUGGGGAGCGCCAGGCCCCAAUCCUCCCCACACAGCCAUGAAGGUCACGGGAUGACCUUGGACCACCAACUUUUCCCUCAUAUUCUCUCUCUGCUUUAUCUGCCUCAUGGGAUUGUUGUGAUGAUAAAAAGGGUUGUGGGAAGAGGGGACCCCCAUAUAUGCUGCCUUGGUGGGGAGAGGCGAAAGUGAGCUGUAGAAAUAAGCAAGACCCUGUUGAAAAACGUCUGUACACGGAGCAGGUUUCAGACUUCUUCGGCUUUUGUCAGUAAUGUUCAAGGAUAAAAAAAUAAUAAUGAAAACUUUUUAAAAUGGUUAGCCAGUUCCGGUGCUUCAGUGAAGGUUGAGGCAAGGUCAUGUUCAGGAGGACGGUUCCAGAAAACCACAUCCGGACCCCACAGCGGAGCUCAGAAAUGCCUACGUUCAAGUCAGAAUGAAUUUGGAUUUGCCAAAAAAAUAAUCUCCACUUCCUGACUAACGCUUUCAAGCAAAACAUACUCUCCUGGGGCUUUUCCACACACACACA